rnacentral:rRNA from 1 species
UACGUAGGGUGCGAGCGUUAAUCGGAAUUACUGGGCGUAAAGCGUGCGCAGGCGGAUUGUUAAGCAAGAUGUGAAAUCCCCGGGCUUAACCUGGGAAUGGCAUUUUGAACUGGCAGUCUAGAGUGUGUCAGAGGGGGGUGGAAUUACACGUGGAGCAGUGAAAUGCGUAGAUCGGUGGAGGAAAACCAAUGGCGACGGCAGACCCCUGGGAUAACACUGACGCUCAUGUACGCAAGCGUGGGUAGCCAACAGGAUUAGAUACCCCCGUAGUCC